rnacentral:rRNA from 1 species
AUACGUAGGUGGCAAGCGUUGUCCGGAAUUAUUGGGCGUAAAGCGCGCGCAGGUGGUUCCUUAAGUCUGGUGUGAAAGCCCCCGGCUCAACCGGGGAGGGUCAUUGGAAACUGGGGAACUUGAGUGCAGAAGAGGAUAGUGGAAUUCCAAGUGUAGCGGUGAAAUGCGUAGAGAUUUGGAGGAACACCAGUGGCGAAGGCGACUGUCUGGUCUGUAACUGACACUGAGGCGCGAAAGCGUGGGGAGCAAACAGGAUUAGAUACCCUGGUAGUCCACGCCGUAAACGAUGAGUGCUAAGUGUUAGGGGGUUUCCGCCCCUUAGUGCUGCAGCUAACGCAUUAAGCACUCCGCCUGGGGAGUACGGUCGCAAGACUGAAACUCAAAUGAAUUGACGGGG